AAUGAACGCUGGCGGCAGGCCUAACACAUGCAAGUCGAGCGAAGUCUUCGGACUUAGCGGCGGACGGGUGAGUAACGCGUGGGAACAUGCCCUUUGGUGCGGAAUAGUCCCGGGAAACUGGGAGUAAUACCGCAUGUGCCCUUCGGGGGAAAGAUUUAUCGCCAAAGGAUUGGCCCGCGUUGGAUUAGGUAGUUGGUGGGGUAAUGGCCUACCAAGCCGACGAUCCAUAGCUGGUUUGAGAGGAUGAUCAGCCACACUGGGACUGAGACACGGCCCAGACUCCUACGGGAGGCAGCAGUGGGGAAUCUUAGACAAUGGGCGCAAGCCUGAUCUAGCCAUGCCGCGUGAUCGAUGAAGGCCUUAGGGUUGUAAAGAUCUUUCAGUGGGGAAGAUAAUGACGGUACCCACAGAAGAAGCCCCGGCUAACUCCGUG
rnacentral:rRNA from 1 species